CGACACGGGGAGGUAGUGACAAUAAAUACUGAUACGGGGCUCUUUUGGGUCUCGUAAUUGGAAUGAGUACAAUCUAAAUCCCUUAACGAGGAACAAUUGGAGGGCAAGUCUGGUGCCAGCAGCCGCGGUAAUUCCAGCUCCAAUAGCGUAUAUUAAAGUUGUUGCAGUUAAAAAGCUCGUAGUUGAACCUUGGGUCUGGCUGGCCGGUCCGCCUCACCGCGAGUACUGGUCCGGCUGGACCUUUCCUUCUGGGGAAUCCCAUGGCCUUCACUGGCUGUGGGUGGAACCAGGACUUUUACUGUGAAAAAAUUAGAGUGUUCAAAGCAGGCCUUUGCUCGGAUACAUUAGCAUGGAAUAAUAGAAUAGGACGUGCGGUUCUAUUUUGUUGGUUUCUAGGACCGCCGUAAUGAUUAAUAGGGAUAGUCGGGGGCGUCAGUAUUCAGCUGUCAGAGGUGAAAUUCUUGGAUUUGCUGAAGACUAACUACUGCGAAAGCAUUCGCCAAGGAUGUUUUCAUUAAUCAGGGAACGAAAGUUAGGGGAUCGAAGACGAUCAGAUACCGUCGUAGUCUUAACCAUAAACUAUGCCGACUAGGGAUCGGGCGGCGUUUCUAUGAUGACCCGCUCGGCACCUUACGAGAAAUCAAAGUUUUUGGGUUCUGGGGGGAGUAUGGUCGCAAGGCUGAAACUUAAAGAAAUUGACGGAAGGGCACCACAAGGCGUGGAGCCUG
rnacentral:rRNA from 1 species